rnacentral:rRNA from 1 species
AUGACGUCAAGUCCUCAUGGCCCUUAUAGGUGGGGCUACACACGUCAUACAAUGGAUGGUACAAAGGGUCGCCAACCCGCGAGGGGGAGCCAAUCCCAUAAAGCCAUUCGUAGUCCGGAUCGCAGUCUGCAACUCGACUGCGUGAAGUCGGAAUCGCUAGUAAUCGUGGAUCAGAAUGUCACGGUGAAUACGUUCCCGGGCCUU